CUUUCAAAAGCUAGUACCUCUAUGAUUUUAUAAAUAAGCUCGAGAGAAGAAAAAAUCCCUUUUAAAAGUAUUUACGAUGCCUUCUAUCGACACAGAGCCUCUACAGGCGCAUUCACCGAGUCCUGUAUAAAAUCAAUAGCCUAGAAAGCUUAAGAAAUGUUUACCCAUAUUAUAUCAAUACCACCUAUGGUAUCCACCAUGCUCAGCCAUUACUAAUUCCGUAACAGUCACGUCAAUCUCUGAAAACAUUUUUAAACCCAAAUUCUACGCUCUCCAAGCGUUUCCCAUCGACCAUAAACCAGAAUAAAAUGGCGCACAAAGGUUGUCGCUGGACGUCAGGACACUAACAACACACGACAAGAAAGUGAAGAGAGAACUGGUAUCCCGCUUUCAAAAAUUCUUUUGCUAUUCUUCCAUCGAUUCGCGAUUCCACCGCGUCACGCACCGCCAUUAACGAGCAACGAAGCUCAAAAAGCAACGUUCACCGUGUCUCAAUCGCGAUUACACAGCGGAGAGACGCACGGUCGGUUUGUCGCGCGUGUUAUUCGACGUGACACGCGAGCAUACUGGAGAAAAUACUGUCAUCCGCGAGAACUGUGCUACAAUGUACCGUAUACAUCGUGAAAAACGUUCACGGUGCGUGCGCUAUGAUUAAAUGAGAAAAAUAACGUUAGCUCGCGCAGCCGGUUCGCGUGACGGAUGGUUUAACCCUUUCGCGGUCCGAAUCUCGUUUAAUGCUCUGUACCGAUUCGCUUGUGAUUAAUAACGCGCAUGAAUCAAACCAACUCCUUUAAUCUUUUUAUUACAGAAAGUUGGAUAAAACAUUAAUAAUUGUAUGAUAUUUCAUAGAAUUUGUACGAAAAGUGGUUGAAAGGGCUAUAUGGAGUUUUAGUACAAAAAAUGGUACUUAUUCUGCGUUAAAAUUUGAAGAAAUAGGAAAACAGAGAGGUGUAGAAAAUUAGUAGAAUCGUAGAGCGACAUGUUGCAGCCAGUGUCGUAUCUAAAAGAUAUAUAAAAUCUUG
rnacentral:misc_RNA from 1 species